rnacentral:rRNA from 1 species
GAUGAACGCUGGCGGCGUGCCUAAUACAUGCAAGUCGAGCGAACAGACGAGGAGCUUGCUCCUCUGACGUUAGCGGCGGACGGGUGAGUAACACGUGGAUAACCUACCUAUAAGACUGGGAUAACUUCGGGAAACCGGAGCUAAUACCGGAUAAUAUAUUGAACCGCAUGGUUCAAUAGUGAAAGACGGUUUUGCUGUCACUUAUAGAUGGAUCCGCGCCGCAUUAGCUAGUUGGUAAGGUAACGGCUUACCAAGGCAACGAUGCGUAGCCGACCUGAGAGGGUGAUCGGCCACACUGGAACUGAGACACGGUCCAGACUCCUACGGGAGGGAGCAGUAGGGAAUCUUCCGCAAUGGGCGAAAGCUUGACGGAGCAACGCCGAGUGAGUGAUGAAGGUCUUCGGAUCGGAAAACCCUGUUAUUAGGGAAGAACAAAUGUGUAAGUAAAUAUUCACGUCUUGACGGUAACUAAUCAGAAAGCCACGGCUAACUACGUG